AAAUGAGAUAGAGGUCGCAUUUUUCAACAGUAGAUCCGGGGAUGCAGCAGGUGCAGAGGAACAGGAAGGAAAGGGAAAGAUGCCGAAAGAAAAGGUGCCUGACCACUUUAUUCUUGGGCAUGCAGUUAAGAGCUGUAUGACUGUCAUCAGUAAAUGAUGGGGAGCUAUCGGAGAU
rfam:Firmicutes bacterium CAG:194 genomic scaffold, scf67